AGUACAGAGGUGGGAGGUGGAGUAUUGUGUAUGAGGAACAGUAAGACCUGUUUGACUGGACCCUACGGGAUGUGAAAGGAGUAAUACAUCAUGAGAAGGGAAAAUAGAUUGGAGCCAGGUUGUGAAUGGUUUUAAAUGUCAAAGGUAAUAAAGAACAAUUGGAGUUUAUAGAAUUGGGGGGAGCAGUUAAUCUAGCCUAAUAUCCUCAUUUUUAACAGAAUAGGAUACUGAGGCCUAGAGAAAUGAAAUUGUUUUUCCCAAAGUCACAUAGCUGGUAUGCAGGAGAGUAGAUUCAAACUCUAAAGAAUUAUUUAUUUCACAACUUCCACUAAGACAUUUUCUCCUUUCAGGAUGCUUGAAGAUUUCCUAAUUCAGCAUGCUUACGACCUAAUUCAGCACACAUCUUAGUGUGGUCAUUCAUAUUUCGGGAUUACUAUAACUAUAUGAAACUUUUUCAGCCUUUGGGGCCUUGACCAGUUAUUGCCUCUCCUAGAAUAUGAAAAUGCAGAGUGAAAAGGGACCUUCGAUGCCAUUUCAUGUGACCCUUCCUUCCUCCAAAAACCCUUUGAUGGAUAAGAAUCUAAGGCCUGACCUCUCCAAGGUCACACAGAUUCCAUGAGUUUAUUUUGUGAACCAAUGGUGUGGACUGCUUUGGGAAGUGGUGACCACCUACCCUUGGAGACAUGCAAGCAGAAGCUAAUUCUGUCAGGGGUGUUGAAGAAGAGAUCGCCAAAUGGGGUGAGAGGUUAGGAGAGACGGCCGAUAAGGACCAUUUUCGUUCUGAGAUUUAGUGACACUGUGUCCUUGAACAUGUGAGAGAAUAAAAGUGUAUUUCUUUUUUUUU